rnacentral:rRNA from 1 species
UUCCGGUUGAUCCUGCCGGACCCGACUGCUAUCAGAGUAGGACUAAGCCAUGCGAGUUAACGUAGCAAUACGUGGCAUACGGCUCAGUAACACGUAGUCAACAUGCCCAGGGGACGUGGAUAACCUCGGGAAACUGAGGAUAAACCGCGAUAGGUCAUGAUUUCUGGAAUGAUUCAUGGCCCAAAUCUAUAUGGCCCCUGGAUUGGACUGCGGCCGAUCAGGCUGUUGGUGAGGUAAUGGCCCACCAAACCUGUUACCGGUACGGGCUCUGAGAGGAGAAGCCCGGAGAUGGGCACUGAGACAAGGGCCCAGGCCCUAUGGGGCGCAGCAGGCGCGAAAACUCUGCAAUAAGCGAAAGCUUGACAGGGUUAUUCUGAGUGAUUUCCGCUAAGGAAAUCUUUUGGCACCUCUAAAAAUGGUGCAGAAUAAGGGGUGGGCAAGCCUGGUGUCAGCCGCCGCGGUAAUACCAGCACCCCGAGUGGUCGGGACGAUUAUUGGGCCUAAAGCAUCCGUAGCCGGUUCUACAAGUCUUCCGUUAAAUCCACCUGCUCAACAGUUGGGCUGCGGAGGAUACUAUAGAGCUAGGAGGCGGGAGAGGCAAGCGGUACUUAGUGGGUAGGGGUAAAAUCCG